rnacentral:rRNA from 1 species
CUGCAUCGAUAGCAUGCGAGUCGCGAGAUUAGAUUCUCGGCGUACCGCUCAGUAACACGUGGGUAACCUGCCCUAUGCUGGAUAAUAACCUCGGGAAACUGAGAAUAAUGAUCCAUAGUUCACUACGCCUGGAACGGUGAGUGGACGAAAGCUCCGGCGGCAUAGGAUGGGCCUGCGGCGUAUCAGGUUGUAGGGGGUGUAAUGUACCCUCUAGCCCUCUACGCGUACGGGUGUUGAGAGACAUCGCCCGGAGAUGGAUUCUGAGACACGAAUCCAGACCCUACGGGGUGCAGCAGGCGCGAAAACUUGGCAAUGCGAGAAAUCGUGACCAGGGAACUCCAAGUGCAUCGGGUAAGACCGAUGCUUUUCUAGACUCUAAAAAGGUCUUGGAAUAAGAGGUGGGUAAGGACGGUGCCAGCCGCCGCGGUAAUACCGGCGCCUCAAGUGGUAGUCGCUUUUAUUGGGCCUAAAACGUCCGUAGCCGGUCUGAUACAUUCGUGGGUAAAUCAACCAGCUUAACUGGUUGAAUUCUGCGAGGACGGUCAGACUUGGGACCGGGAGAGGUGUGGGGUACGCUCAGGGUAGGGGUAAAAUCCUGUCAUCCUGAGCGGACCACCUGUUGCGAAAGCGCCACACUAGAACGGAUCCGACGGUCAGGACGAAGCCUAGGGGCACGAACCGGAUUAGAUACCCGGGUUAGUUCUAGUGUAACGCUGUGGACUUGAAUGUGGGGGUGCUUCGAGCAACUCUCAGUGUUCGAAGCCGCAAUGU